rnacentral:rRNA from 1 species
GACGAACGCUGGCGGCGUGCUUAACACAUGCAAGUCGAACGGAAAGGCCCUGCUUUUGUGGGGUGCUCGAGUGGCGAACGGAUGAGUAACACGUGAGUAACCUGCCCUUGACUUUGGGAUAACUUCAGGAAACUGGGGCUAAUAACGGCUAGGAGCUCCUGCUGCAUGGCGGGGGUUGGAAAGUUUUGGCGGUUGGAGAUGGACGCGCGGCUUAUCAGCUUGUUGGUGGGGUAGUGGCCUACCAAGGCAUUGACGGGUAGCCGGCCUGAGAAGGUGACCGGCCCCAAUGGGACUGAGGUACGGCCCAGACUCCUACGGGAGGCAACAGUGGGGAGUAUUGCACAAUGGGCGGAAGCCUGAUGCAGCGACUCCGCGUGCGGGAUGACGGCCUUCGGGUUAUAAACCGCUUUCGCCUGUGACGAAGCGUGAGUGACGGUAAUAGAUAAAGAAGCACCGGCUAACUACGUG